rnacentral:piRNA from 1 species
UGAUACAGUGAUGGAGAGAUAUUUAGGACC